GGCAGGAGUCAUGGAACCCCAGGAAAGGACGGAACAGAACAGGACAGGGCCCCCAGCCCCAUCUUUAUCUCACCGGCUGCUGCUGGCUGCCAAGCCUCCCCUGAAUGGGGGAGGGUGGUCUGUGUGAGUCAGCGGAGGCACGAAGUGGAGGAAGACGGGAGCCUCUGCCAGGCCCGUUGAGCGUGGCCUCAGAAAUGCGCCGCUGGGUUAGGGUCUCCCCGACCGAGGCUCGAAUCCAGGUCGAAGGGUCGCCGGAGCGAUGGUUGGAGAAUGUGGAAGGAGCUGGAGGACACCCGAGUAUUCUUAAAGCAAUCCCCAUGGCCAGAUGUCAUCAGCAGCUGAACAGCAUUCCAGAAACCAGCUGCAAAGACAGAAGCAGAACAACUGGUUUGGUGGAGAGAUCUGAUAACAAAAAGUUGGGAAACAGGUAAAAUAAUAACUUGGGGUAGAAGUUAUGCUUGUGUUUCUCCAGGCCAAAAUCAACAGCUGAUCUGGAUACCAUCAAGACACCUGAAAUCUUAUCAUGAGCCAGAUGCUGAGGAAGAGACUCCGGGAGGAUCCCGAGGACGGCCCAGUUGCAGCCAUGUUGAGACUGACGCUGAGGAGGACCCCAACUGUCACGAGCAACACCUGUCGAACACAGCCACCCACCUGGGGACAGAUCAAGAAGCUGUCAC
rnacentral:lncRNA from 1 species